rnacentral:rRNA from 1 species
GACGAACGCUGGCGGCGUGCCUAAUACAUGCAAGUAGAACGCACAGUUUAUACCGUAGCUUGCUACACCAUAAACUGUGAGUUGCGAACGGGUGAGUAACGCGUAGGUAACCUGCCUGGUAGCGGGGGAUAACUAUUGGAAACGAUAGCUAAUACCGCAUAAUAUUGAUUAUUGCAUGAUAAUUGAUUGAAAGAUGCUAUUGCAUCACUACCAGAUGGACCUGCGUUGUAUUAGCUAGUAGGUGAGGUAACGGCUCACCUAGGCGACGAUACAUAGCCGGCCUGAGAGGGUGAUCGGCCACACUGGGACUGAGACACGGCCCAGACUCCUACGGGAGGCAGCAGUAGGGAAUCUUCGGCAAUGGACGAAAGUCUGACCGAGCAACGCCGCGUGAGUGCAGAAGGUUUUCGGAUCGUAAAGCUCUGUUGUAAGAGAAGAACGGGGGUGAGAGUGGAAAGUUCACACUGUGACGGUAUCUUACCAGAAAGGGACGGCUAACUACGUG